rnacentral:rRNA from 1 species
CGACCAUGUUGUACUUCUUUUCGUGGCUGGCGGGUGACGAACGGAAUAGGGUAGCGGUGAGGAGAGGAAGAGAAUAGGUCUAGCGGCAGGGUCGCACCAGGAGAAGGAGAAGAGGUAGGUUGGGUCGGUCUUCGAACUAGACCGGCAAGCGGGGUCAGCGGCCAGGGCACCCAGUCGUCGGAGCGGAGGUGGGCUAAGUCAGCGCAGGAGGAAGGGUUCCGAAAGAGGCUAGACGGUUGGGUGGUGGGGUGGUGCGGAGCGAGAGAGACGGGGGAGGAAGGGGUGCGUCGCGGCUACCCCGUCCCGGAGGCGCCGGCGGCCGCGGGAGACGCUGAGGAGAAGAGGUACUAAGCGGGCGAUAAUGAGGAGAGGAGGUGCUAAGCACCACUACAACCCCACCGUAGAAGAAGCUCGCCCUCCACACGGAGCAGGAGCGUGUACGAGCCGGCGCGGUAGCCUCGGGGGGCGUCCAACGGACGGGCAGCGGGAGUGGAAGUGAGAAGAAGGGGAAAGUUAAGACGAGAUAGGAGAGACUUAUAGAGGGGGGGAGAGAGAGAUAAGUUCACAUCUCCGUCACGAGGCGGUGGGCUACGACAAGAAGCGUAGCAGGGCGCGAGGGUUUCGACCCUUGGCCGAGGGGCGGAGGUUCAAGAGCCGUAGCUGCAGGGCACGACGGACGUAGGAGCGGUUCGGGCUGAGCGUCGGCACAUCGGGCUCGAGCGGUUCCGCGAAGUUGAGGCGGCGGCGCGGUAGAAGAAGUCCGCGAGCUCGUGCUCGUGUUCGAGCGGGCGCGGGGUGGAGAGAGACGGCGAGGCAGGCGGCGGGCGCCACGGCACUGGGCAGUGACGGCACGGGACGUAGUGAGACAUCGGCGUGGCGGACCCAGCUACGCCAGUCGCGAGGGUUCGGCAACUGGGGCGCGGUCCCCUGCUGAUAAAGGAGGGUACGCACGCGCGGGCACGAGGUCGGGAGGGCAGGGGUACGACGGCCGUGUGAGCGCGACGCCCCGGCAUAGGUCGGACACGGACCUGCUGCCUUCGGGGGGGUGACAGGCACGCGAGGCCGGUCGAGGGACAGCGCGAGCUCUGGAGGAGCUCAGAAGGGCGGCUCCGGAAGGGCCACUGGUCGGAAACUGAACCCAGAGGACAGGCGGAGCCGCGCCUGCGGGCGGUGCUGCGGCCACCGUUCGCCGCCGCGCACGGGCCGCUACCUCUUGCCGUCCUAUUCGCCACUCUCCGCGCCACCACUCGGUCAGGUUAUUCUCUAUUCCCAACGCCCAUAUUAAAGAUUGUUUACGUCCCCCAAAAAUGCGUUUUUGUUUUGUAAAAAGAUUUAACGGUGAUUUUGUCCCUGACGCCCAACUAAAUACAUUUGGCUCCCCGAAAAAACAUUUUGACGGUCCUUUUUUUAAGUUAACGCCCUGCUUUGAUUCUUAUAGUGGAACGAAAUUAUCAUCCAUAUCUAUAUCUAUUAUUAUUGGGAAAAUAAUAACGGAGAUCCCGUAUAAAGGUUGUUCUUGCUGCAGCAGGUAUCUAAUUACAUACCCUUGUGACCCGGUUGGGUGAAAUGUCCUGUCCUCCCAACUGGCGACCCGCUACGUGACGUGCUCAUCCGGUCCUCCUUGUUCUCAUCUUCUCCUGACAUCGGACAUCCACUCUCUUCUACUACGGUAACGGUAGAACUGACUUCCAAGCCGUAGAUUUCUACGAACCGUUGGUCUUGAGACUUCGAUUUGUGGUGAACUUCCAUGGACCUUUAUGUAAUGAACGACUUCGACGUGUAGAAUGCGGGGUCCUCCUCCGGUUUAAGUAUAAGGCUAGUACACUAGAUUUAUGAUUUCGAAGGAACGACCUAGAUUCGUAUGAAGGCAUCGUCGGCCUCGACUUGUAAAUCUCUCUGGUAUAACAUCGUUCGAACGAAAGGUCCCUGGACCACAAAGACGUUUGGGUUGCUAUCCGCACAAACUUUUUUUUUUCCAGUCAAGCACAACGUUAAAGUACUUUUGAACGAAUACGCCACAAUAACGUGACCAUGUUUUUUACAGUACCAGAAAAAGAAGGACAAAUCUUGCGGUGGAUGGAUACUUAAUGCUGAGACCCGUACCGUCUUCAGUGGUAUUAAAAACAAGUCGUUGAUCUAAAGUAGGGUUCUACACGGUAGAGAGAUUAAACUGAGACUCGUACAUUAUGUCAAUCAAUUAGUACACCCAACCAGAACACAGAAGGUCGACGUUAACUUAAUCAGAUUCGUUAACUCCAGGAUGAUUAAUUAAUUCGACCGAUAAACGAACGAAGAACAUGGAUGCUGUACGAGAGACUAAAAGAAAUAGCGUCAUACGUUCGAAGAUUCGCGGCCUAACUACAGCAUGAUUGUUUAAUUCCACCAACUAAUGAACGAAAAAAAAGAGUCAUAACGUUCGAAAUGACACUUGAUUUUCCUUAAUUUUCCUUCCUCGGUCAUACGGAUGUCAACUAAGUGACUACAAGUUUAAUUGACGUCAUCGAAUAAAAAGGAUGUGGAAGUAACUUUCAAGGAAACGGUAUAGAUUAAUAGAUUUCAAAAGGAACAUGGUAAAAGGUACUCUAAUUACAUUAACCCUUAUGGUCACGAACAAACUUAGUAAAUCAAUUAAUUAAAACAUCUAUUUUGAACAUAAAUAUACAAAAUCUUAAUGAUAAUAGGACCAUUUUACUGGUGUUCACUUUCCCAACAUUUCUAAUUAAUAAGAAACACCUUCGUAAUAACCAGAUUAAUUAUCUACAUGUACGUAGUUAUUACAACAACUCGAAAUCAACUAAGAUAUCCCAGCAUGAUAAGCGUUUCAAGAUAAAACUCUUUUUUAUCGUUUAAAAACGAACACCAUCGAUUUACCGCGCGGGCGACAUCGUUCACUCACGGGUAGCUUUAGUGGGACUCGUAUAAACGCGACUAAAAGUACUAACGAGAAGACGGUCGUUGUUACAAGGAGCGUGAAGCUGGUGUGUUGACAUACAAGUACAAGGUCUCAGGAAUAAGUAUCAAUUAAAGUUAGUGUUUCACUGUUUACGGUCAGAUAAUCAAUUGUACACAUAGAGGCAAAGAAGAUUCAAAGUUAGCUGGAUGAGACUUCAACAAGGAUUCUGUCACGGAGUUCGUUUCCCUUACUCGGAGUCAAUCACAUAGAUCGCUCAAGCGCUAGGAAACAACCCUAUUUGUAAACACGUUCUCGUUCAGAGCAGUGACAACCAACAAGCAUGACAACGAACUAUUAAGAUUAAAAAUGAAGUCAAGUAUUCCGUUACAUCAAUACGAACUGCGUGCUAUACUUCUGACGGUAAAACGGAAAACUGGAACCAAAGAAGGAGGUCAUUCAUUUACGUGUAUGAAGAAAAGAUUUAAUCUCGUAUACUGAACAACUAGCUAGAGACUUGAGUCAUUAUUAUAAUUCGGAAUUAGACAAAUAACACGUCUGUUCUACUCUUUCUUUACGAUGGGUUCUUAUACAUGAAAUAUUUGUAAAGUUGACAUUAGACCUUAUUUUAAUUUAUUUAUUCCUUUGUCAUAUAAGUAUAUAGAAAAAACAUGAAACUACCAAAGUGUGGUGUUCAAGGAUCUACCAUUAACACGACGUAUACAGACGAGAGAAACAAAAAGACUUGUCCAUCCAAGGCCUUCUACAGUACUUCUUAAAGAAACUCUCUUAAACGCACUCGACUAAACAUCGUCACGCCUUCCACUCGAACCGACGGCCGUCGUCGAGGAAACCGACUAGACGCCGCUACGUCUUCAACCCAACCUUUUUUCGUGCUGGCCGACGAGACUUCACCCAGCAUCCCUCUCGAAGCAUUCUCUAUCCCUCCCUCGAGAUAACCGGGCACGUACUGUAGGUUGGGUUACCGUAGUACGGGACCAUCCGUACCAACGUACCGGUGCCCCUCUUACCUCGUUCAUCGCACACUCCUCAAAUUCUUUACCCCUGUUCCCUGUCAAAUCAAUUAAUUCAGAUACAAUCAAAGUUCAAAAUAGGAACAACGCCAUUUUUUAAUUCCAACCUAAUUGGUGGUACAUGUAGAAAUUAAUGAAAAUUUAUUCUUUAUAUUAGUUUUAUAAGAAAACUGUAGUAUUUUAAAUAUAUUAAACAUGUUCAUGUACUUCCACCUUGUCCUCCUUCCCACCCUCUUCUAAUCCGGGGCAAACCAUUGUUUCAUAAAAGAUACAUAAGGGUAUUAUGACGUCAAAAAAUAUUAUGACAUCAAAAAUAAUGUUUCCCAACAAACCGACAGAGAUUUUUAACAUUAGAAUUAUGACGUCAAAAACCGUUUGGUGUUAUAAAAGAGACGUAGUUUUUUUUCUUGGUGUAUGGAGAAAAAAAAUUUGAUUCGAGCGACUCUUUUCUCUCAGGGAGCGAGUAUGGAAGAAGAGUUGUGCGGAGUACAGGUGCUGGCAAAAUAGUCCUAGAAGACGAAUCACUAAAUCAAUCGAGCGAAGGUAAACAACGAGGUUUAAUGUCGGUUGGUGUUUUAGCAAAACUUCUGCAACAACGGCAGGCCUAUCGGUCAAUCUUAUAUACAGAAGAUGCGGCACACGUAUCGGUAAGAACCACGUACCGGCUCAUCAACGUAUUUUACCGAUCGAUUGAUCUUUUCGUGCACACAGACGUC